rnacentral:rRNA from 1 species
UACGGAGGAUGCAAGAGUUAUCCGGAAUCAUUGGGCGUAAAGGGUCCGUAGGCGGCACCAGAAGUCUGCUGUCAAAGACCAAAGCUCAACUUUGGGCAGGCAGUGGAAACUGAGGAGCUAGAGUACAGUAGGGGUAGAGGGAAUUCCCAGUGUAGCGGUGAAAUGCGUAGAGAGUGGGAAGAACACCAGUGGCGAAGGCGAUCUACUGGGCAUGUACUGACACUGAGGGACGAAAGCUAGGGGAGCGAAAGGG